CCGCACUAGAUGGGGAGCUAGCGGUGCCCUGCACCCGCAAUCCGCUACAGCGGGGUCGAAUUCCUCCCAGAGGCCUGCCCCGUGGGCCUAUAUCGUGGACGGAGGUCGUUGAGGGCCGGGUCCCACGCGACGCAGUCCUGUGAACCCCGCCAGGUCCGAAAGGAAGCAACGGUAAGCAGUGCAUUGCGGGUGCCGUGGGAGUGCCUGGCCUGAGUCGUCCGCCACGACACGCUCAUUUGUCAGUGUCGACCGGAGGUGCGCGG
rnacentral:SRP_RNA from 1 species